GCUUUCUCUAUCUUGUUUGAUGCCAACUGAAAUUUCUGUGUGUGCACCCUUGACAAUAAAAAAAAAAAAAAAAAAGUUUAAUCUAAUAUGGAAAUGUAACGAAACUCAGGUCGUAUCACCUCGCCUGAUACGCAUAUAGAAAUAACCGCAACAUUUUCCACAAGGCCAACCAAUCACAAGUCAUUUUUAAUCCUUCCGCCUUCAGUCAAUUGGGUGUGAUGAAAGUAUCAAAUGUCUUCACUCCUCCACAGAUCAUCAUGAUGAGCUGGACGUAUGUCUUUCUUCCCGUCAUCUUGGGUGCUGUUGUGUCCUGUCAGGACGUACUCUCUAACCCAGUAGUGGAGCUGACCGUGAGACCAGGAGAAAACGUUACUCUAUACUGUGACUGUAAACUCACAACUAAUGUAAAUCUUGUUUGGUACAGGAACUGUUCUCAUGAAAAUCAGCCAACACUAUCUCUGAAUUGGAAGGACAGAGAUCAAGGCAUUUUUGGUUAUGGCAAGGAUGGAGGAAAUUUCUUCCAUUUAAAUAUUCUGUGGAACGCUUCGUCAAACUCAUACGACUUACUGAUUAAGAACAUUACUGAUUCUCACCUUGGUCUCUACUACUGUGGAACUGAAAAACUGAAUGGGGAAAAAGGAAACAAGAAAGAAUGUAUCUACACCUAUGGUAAAAUAAUCACAAGGAUUUUGUUUGAUAUCCCUUUAGAUGCUGGUGCUGGAGACCCUGCUGCUCCAGACUGUGGACAGUGCUGGAUGCUGCUGGUCACCCUGUGCCCGUCCUCUGCUCUCCUCUCUUUGUUCCUCUACUUCCUCUGCAGUCACAUGGCUCAGCUUCUGUUUCAGUUCGUGCCGGAAAACACCCUGGCAUCUCUCAGGAAACCAGGCCUUUAACACCACGACAUGAGGAGGAAAACUACAGCCGAGUGUUUUAUGCUGUGUUGGAAACUCCACACCACAAAGGAUCUCACAGCUUCUUCGCCCGCAGUACGAGUGGGCUUUGAGAGGCGUAUUGGUUAUGGUUCCUCCCACCACAACACACACAACACAGACAGCCCACUCACGUCACACUCGCAUAGAAACACAAAGUCAGACAAACAAACACACACGCAUGCACACAUUGAAAUGACCUUGUGGUUCUUAUCAUUUGAUGCCUUA